AUUGAACGCUGGCGGCAGGCCUAACACAUGCAAGUCGAACGCGAAAAGUCCUUCGGGAUGAGUAGAGUGGCGGACGGGUGAGUAACGCGUAGGAAUCUGCCCUGUAGUGGGGGAUAACGUUCCGAAAGGAACGCUAAUACCGCAUACGCCCCACGGGGGAAAGCGGGGGAUCUUCGGACCUCGCGCUACAGGAUGAGCCUGCGUCGGAUUAGCUAGUUGGUAGGGUAAAGGCCUACCAAGGCGACGAUCCGUAGCUGGUCUGAGAGGAUGAUCAGCCACACCGGAACUGAGACACGGUCCGGACUCCUACGGGAGGCAG
rnacentral:rRNA from 1 species